GCUCGCUCUGAAGGCCUGUUGCCUAGGCUACACACGAGGGACUUGUUCCUUUCCUUCCGCCUAGGGGAAAGUCCCCGGACCCUGGGCAGAGAGUGCCGCGUGCGCAUGCACGUCGACCUUCCCGCUUGUCACUGGAUAGCCCGCCAAGAAGCCACCCCGCCGGUCUGCGGCGGGCGAGCCGAGCGGCGUGUCGCGGGGGCGUCCUCCGUCAGCUCUGCUAGUUACGCAGGCAGUGCGUCGCCGUGCGCACCAACCACACGGGGCUCAUUCUCAGCGCGGC
rnacentral:RNase_MRP_RNA from 1 species